rnacentral:lncRNA from 1 species
UUCAACCUGAUAUCUUUAGAUAUCUAAUCUCUCACUAGUUCUUCACAUUUUGUGGAUGAAUGGAUGCUCCUUAUCGUGCAACAAAAAGACCAGUCUGGCGUCCCUAGGGCAGACCAUGCAUUACAGCAGAACUCAGAGAGGCGUAAUUAUAGAGGACAGCCUCAUUUGGGUGCAACUGGAUAUUGUGCCAAUUUUAUUCCAGCUCCAUUAACGUAUGGCAACAAUACAGACAGUACAUCGCCUGACAAAGAACUCAUAGUCCUCCUCUGGAUUUAUGUAGCAAGAUUUUGGCAGUGGGGUGGCCUGCAAGAAGCCAGCAGCUGCCCCGUGUCAGAUCACAGCCCUUGUAGGAGCAGCCCAGGCCUGAGCUGCAGCCCAUGGAGAGCAGCCUGCAGAGGGGCAGGAGGGCUGAGGGAGCUGCCGCCUGUGGGGAACCGUGUGGAGCAGUGCCUGAAGGGUGGGCUCCAUGGUGCGGAGCUGUGUUGGAACAGUGCUGGGAGAGCUGCAGCAUGUGGAAAGCCCAUGUGGGAUCAGACCAGGAAGGAUGCCAUCCCAUGGGACGGACCCACACAGAACAGAAGCAGAGAGUGAUCAUGGAAGAGCAGAAGACAUGAAGCUUUAUGGACUGACCGCAGCCCCCUUUCCCUAUUCCCCUGUGCUCGUUGAGGGAAGGAGGUAGGAGUUGAGCCUGAGAAAAGGUGGGUGGAGGAGAGGUGUUGUCAGUCUGUUUUUAUUUCUCAUUGCCCUAUUACUAAUAGGCCAUAAAUAAAAU